AGACAAGUCGAGUCCUGGUGCAAUAAGGAGUCUCGGCAGGACCAAUAACCCGGAAGUGAAUUCGGUUCAAUAAAGGACUAGGUUCACAAUCAUAGUGAAAAUAGGAUUGGUCGAGUUAGUGUUUGAUCAGGAGAAGAAGUCCUAGUCCAAAUAGGGUUUUAACUCGACCUUGAGGGUAUCCGUUGCUAUAAAUAGAAGAGGUUGUACAUAGU
rnacentral:lncRNA from 1 species